UACGUAGGAUCCAAGCGUUAUCCGGAAUUACUGGGCGUAAAGAGUUGCGUAGGUGGCAGAGUAAGUAGAGAGUGAAAGCGUUCGGCUCAACCGAAUAUCCAUUUUCUAAACUGCUCAGCUAGAGAACGAGAGAGGUCACUGGAAUUCCAAGUGUAGGAGUGAAAUCCGUAGAUAUUUGGAGGAACACCGAUGGCGUAGGCAGGUGACUGGCUCGUUUCUGACACUAAGGCACGAAAGCGUGGGGAGCAAACAGG
rnacentral:rRNA from 1 species